AUGGCCAUGGGCAACAAUGGCGUCAAGAUCACCUACAUCGAGACGCAGUUCGUCACCUCCGACGCCGCGAGCUUCAAGUCCCUCGUGCAGCGCCUCACGGGCAAGUCCGCCGAAGCCGCCGCCACGCGCCCGCUCCACCGGCCGCGCCCCUGCCGCGCCCCCGCAGCCGAGAGGGCGAGCGCUGUCACUGGAGCACCGAGCUAUUUCACGUCCACCACUGCGGUCUCGGUUGUUAGUGCAGCUGCGGACGACGUGCGGACAGCGGCGUUCGCUGCCAACGACGGCGAUUACCCGGAGCUGGAGGGACUUUGGGAUUACUCGGAGCUGUUCUGCGCAGCCGAACGGUGCCAUGGCGGUAGUUACAGUGAUCUCCUCUAUUGA
rnacentral:rRNA from 1 species